GAUGGCUCUAACUGAACACUGUCCAAGUACUUGACACAUGCUAAUCGAACGACUAAUUAGGUUUUAAAUAAAUUAAUAUUAAAUAAGUAAUUAUAUAAUAUUAAUUAAAAAUAUUUAAAAAUAAGUAGUAGUGGUGUACAGGUGAGUAUAUGAUAAAUUGGCUACCUUAAACUAAGGGCAAAAUCCCUUAUAAAAAAAAAGGUAAUUAAAAAAUCCGGUUUAAGAUGUAAAUUUUUAUCUCGGUGAGUAGUAGGAAAGGUAAUGACUUUUCUAGCAGUAACCGUAGUCGUAACUGGAAAGUUGAUCGACCACAUUGGGUCUGAAAAAAACCCAAUGCUUUUUUGUACAGCAGUGAGGAAUAUUGGUCAAUGGCCGAAAGGCUGAACCAGUAACUUGGAAGAAUGUAAAUGUAUUUGUAUAAAUACAAUAGCGAUUAAUUCGCAUAAAAUUCUAAAUAGAUUGUAUAUAAUGACAUAAUCUAUUUAUAAGUCUUGACCAAACUACGUGC
rnacentral:rRNA from 1 species